AUUCUGUGUCCAGGACUUCGGGCCCUCUGUGAGCCUCUGUCCGCCAAGGCGAUGGAGCUGUGUUUGGAGUCCCUCGCCACUGCCUUCAGAGAAGGUGACAGAGGGCCAUGUCUGAAACAUUCUCCCACAACCAGGAACCCUCAGCAGCCGCUGAAGAGGAAAGGCAGUUAAAUGGAAAGACUUCUGAGCAAGUGGAGGAAAAGUCACGUGUGACCUAGGGAGGGGCUCCCACAGGAAGGGGCAAUGCCCUUGCCCUGUUCACCUAGCCUCCAGGUGGCUUCCCACUUGAAAUUUCAGAGGAUGGCAGAAACCUACUUACAAGGAAAUGAAAGAGGGCACAGCAACCUUAAGACCAGAGCAGCCCACGAUAUUUUUUAAUGAGGGCAAAAAUAGAAGACUUGCAAAAGACCCCUGAAAAUAAUGCCUGGAAGCUGCGAAACAUCAGACUGACACCGCACAAAAGAGGUCCAGCUGAGCAGGAGAAAAGCUUGAGAAGCAUCCAGAACAAUGUAGGUGGAGAGGCUAAGAAGAAAGAGGAGCCCACAUGGAAUGAAUAACCAAGGUCGGGACAGAGGAAGGUUCGCCAGAACUGGGAGGGCUGAAAUUGGACAUUGAGAUAAAUUAAAGAGUGUUCUUUAAAACUGUCAAGACUUUGGCUGGUCAAUAAGUAAACUGCAAACGAGUGUUCCUAAACCACAGCAGCAAUGCUCCCUGGAGGAGGGAAGGAGGCCGGGGCUGCCACUCUCCCAGGUGGCUGCGUCCCGGCCUUUGCCAUUGAUGUGUGCUUUCUCCAGGCUCACAGAUGUCCCUGGGCCGGUUGCAUCUGUGACCAGGACUCUGCCACCUGCCUGUGGCUUGCUGAUCAGCUGG
rnacentral:lncRNA from 1 species